ensembl:lncRNA
UUCUAAGGUCUUCUGUGUGAACAGGCUCUUACUGUUCUCUGUUUCUCAGAAUUGAACUGUACAAUGAUCUGGGACACAAAGGGGAAAAGAAAAGAGGAAACCUAAUUGUAGCUGAUGGCAGGUGACUCUAGUGCGAGUGCUGGCUAACAGACCUGACCAGUGUGCCCCUUGAGAGGUAUGCAAGUUUCACUGGAACAUACUAUGAGUCUACCAUGUUAUGAAACGUACAUUUAAGGAUGGUGAGAGCAGUAACAAGAGAAAACAUAGCAAGUUUAUUGGAAGAAUCUGUUCAAGAGGGCUAAUUCUCCCAAACUGAACAUACAUGGAUACUGAAGAGAAACUUCUAGCUCUGUCUGGAGACACAGUAAGAAAUGCUGUGGCCUUGUGCAACAUUGCAAAGAUUCAGACUGGACAGGUUUGCCUGGAAAAGUAAUGAAGGAUUCAGAUCAUCACCUUGUGUGUUGUUCUCUCCACACAACUUGGAUCAUGGAGCUGGAGCUGAGGGAGCAGAUCCAGCUUCCAGUACUGCAUAUGCACCUUGAUUACUUUUCUGUGCAGUGGAGUCAUUGUGAAUCAUAGAAUCACAGCAUUGAUAAAGACAGAUACUUAAAGGAUAUUUUACUCUGUGGAAGACUCACUUCAAAUCAACAAGCCUAAGAAUAAGACAAAUACUGUAAAAUCACACCAAAUAAUCAGAAAAGCAAUUCUAAAUCAUUCUUUAGAAAAGUCUUUUAGUUAGUCUUUUACCAGAUUAUAUUACCACAAGCUGUCCUUUUAACCUCUGGUCCUGCACUGCAGCAUCACACUGUGGAAGGAAAGCAGUCAUGAAUGGAUACCUGCAGCAACAUGCAGGAAUCAUGGUAGGGGACAACUACACUGUGCACUCUGGAGCAUAUAUAUACACCUUUAUUGUCCUAACCACUUUCAUACUAUGCACAAACCAAAAUGACUUGAAAUUAAUCAAAUUCUGCAUCUUGAGAGAUCCAACAGUAACUGAAAUGACAAAAUUCAGGUGAUCCAAUAAGCUUGAGAAGCAUAUGACAGUAUACACUACAAGACAAACUUUAAACUACAGGCUAAAUGAUUAUGCAUGAUUCAUAGCGUUCUGGAAGAAAACAAACAAACAAACAAACAAAAAACCUCAGCAUCCUGAACAACUCAAGGAAGUACAUUAGAAACUUUCUAUUUCUCCAUCUCCACUCCACUGGAACAAAGUAUGCUGAAUCGGGCAAGGAUUUGGACAGAAAUAUUACUAAAUUUAAAUGUUUUCUAGAGAAUAGGUGGAGUAGUUUUCUUUUAAUAUAUUAAUUUUUUUUUUAAUAAAACAUUUUAUUUUAAAAUGAUUAAGAGAAAAUGAGAAAAUAGCUUUCCAUUUUGGGGGAAAAAAAUGGAUGAAAGGACAACUACAACUUUAGGAAUUUUUAAAAUACCAUCAGUAACAUCUUGGACUUCAAUACUACAAGCAAGAUAAAUGAGAGUAAACUAACUUUCACAAUAAGUGGUCUCCCAGUGAAAGAUGCCAAGUGAGAGGGAAUGUAAAGGAGGCAAUUUUGAACAAAUUAGAAUACUUUUUUUUCCAAAGAGAUACAAAUCUCAGGCUUCCUGUACUUGUUUGUAUCCUACUCUUUCACACCAAUCUUGUGCUUAAAUGUUGCUUCUAAACAUUAUAUUCAAAAUCUAAUAUGUUUUUAAAAUACUUCUAAUUUCUGACUAUUAUUGUAAACGUUUAUUAUUACAUUUUCAUCAGCAGGAUUUUUGUUAAACUAUAAUCUAUAAUCCUGUUAGUUUUGACUAUUUUCUGUGGCUGAAUUUAUAGGAAUAAGAAUGUUCAUAGUGACUCAAACUCUCAUUUUUCAUUAAGAUAAAGGAACAAGUUAUAGAAUAAAAAGUAAACAGUAACAACAAAAAAUUAAGCCAGGAAAAUAGAUUCUGAUAGCAAUGAAGUGACUCCAAUGAAAAAUUAUUAUUAAAAUAAACUUCAAAUCCUUGAUAUUUAGCUAUUCACAGCAUGUGUUUGAAAUUAACUAAGGAACAACAUAACCAAUGAUUUCCUUAAACAUAAGUGCUGCUAAAAUGAAAUCCAAUACAUAUUUCUUAUAGCAAUGUAAUAUCCCAUUAACUUAACAUUUCUGAGCUGAACAGAAAAAAGUCCGUUCAACUUCACUAAGGAAUUUAAAAUAGUGGGUUUUUUUUCCUCAUCUGUGGUUACAGUUUUGAAGUGUGUAAAUAAAACUUAUUCAAUUCAUAAUGAAACAAAUUACACAUAGUCUUAUAUGGUGACUCUCUACAUCAAGAAGAAAAUAGCGUAAAGAGCUGUUCUUGAAGAAUGGCCACAAGUAAGUCAAAAGCUUAUGGGUGAGAGUUAGAGAUGGAAGCAACGAAGAGAGCCAUGUGGUUGGGAUCUACUACAGGUUACCUGAUAAAGUGGAGCCGGUUGAUGAAAGCCUUCUUCCUCCAGCUACAGGAAGUAACACUAGCUCUCAUCCUGCUGGGGGACUUCCACCACCCUGACAUCUGCUGGAAAAGCCAUAUAGCUAGUGGUAGGUAACACAGGAGGCUCCUGGAAUGCAUCAAGAACAACUUCUAGAGCCUAGUGAUAGACAGCUCCCCCAGGGGGAUACAAUACUGGACCUGUUACUCACCAAUCCAAGUGAACUGACUGGUGACAUCAGGAUUGGAAGAUGCCUGCAGGCUGCGGUGACUAUGCACUCAUGGAGUUCACACUCUUGAGAGAUUUGUGAGAGAAAAAUUAAAACCAGGAUGCUCAAUCUCGGAAUGCUCUUCAGGAAGUUAUUUAACAAAAUCCUCUGGGAAUCUGUCCUCAAGGACAAAGGGAGAGGAACAGAGCUGGAAGAUCUUUAAGGAAGCUUUUCUUAGGGCACAAGAGCCCUCCAUCUCCAGGUGUAGGAAGUCAGGAAAGGAAGGCAAAAGUCUUGCACGGCUGAGUGAGACUAACUGGUCAAUCUGGAGAACAAGAAGAAAAUGGACCAGCAGUGGAAGAAGAGACGGGAUCACAAAAUGAUCCAAGGGAUGGAACAAGAACAGGCUGAGAGAGUUAGAGCUGUUUAGUCUAUUACAGAGAUGGCUCUGGGGAUAUGUGACAGGGGCCUUUCAGCAUCUAGAAGAUGACUAUAAGAAAGAAGGGGGCAGACUCUUUAGCAGAAUCUGUUGUGAUAGGACAAGGGGAAAUGGUUGCAAACUAGAGAGAAUAUAACAGGGAAGUUUUUUGUGAUAAGGAUACUGAAGCACUAGAACAGGUUGACCAAAGAGGUGGUGGAAGCCCUGACCCCAGAGGCAUUCAAGGAAAGGCUGGAUGGGACCCUGAGGAACCUGAUCUAGCUGUAGAUGGUCCUGUUCACUGCAGGGGAGUUGGACUAGAUGACCUUUAAAGGGUCCCUUCUGUAACACAAUGGUAAGCACAACAGUGACAGAGAGCACCAAGAUUCCAGGCCACAGCAAGUUAGGAUUCACUCAAACACAACAAUGAGCACAAAAAAUAAGGGAAAGACACUGCUUACCUUCAGAAGGCCUCAGAUAUAUAGCAAUCCCCAAAAGCCUUACCUUCAAUGCCAACCCUUAAAUGAGAUCUGGGAAGAGGUGGAUCCUGGCUCCACCCAUUCCGGUCACUCAGGGGGCCUGCAUGUAUCUGAACUGCCCUGGGUUGGCCCUGCCUUCCUCCAGGUGCUCAGUCACUCUUUCAAGCCAUGACUGAGCAUUUUCACUACACCUACACCUUCCAGCACAAAUGAUUGUACGACUGUGAUUUUAUGAUACACUGAUAACUACUACUAUAAUUGAUCGGCAAUCUCUGAGAAAUACCUACACCCAAUGAAAUCCACAAGCAAAAUAAUAGAGGUGUACUUUUGUUCAAAUUCUUUUGUUUUUUUCCUCUGUUUCCUAAUGGUUAUUCUUAAAGGGAUUUGUGGCAGACUAAUCUAUUUCUCUGAUUUUUAAAUAAACCUACCACAUGAAAUGCUUUGUCCUCUUUUUGAUGCAGAAGGCACAGUUGUGUGGUUCUUUAAAUUCUUUUGCAGUAAUAAGCAUUUUGACAGAGACCAGAUGACUAAGCAAACCAUUCUCUGUCAUUUUUAUGGAUCAUAUGAUAGAAAGUGUGUCGUGUUUAUUUUUUGUCUUUUCUCUUUCUCAGCUACUUAUUGGAAUAUUCAUUACUGUUUCUCAGUUACUGUAUCAAUUAAUAGGAAGAACUGUUGAGAGUCUAUGUAUGUCAAAGACUGACCACAGUCUAACUUGGACUGCAGGAUAUCCUAGUCAUACCACUUACAAGAGAACCGGGUACAUUUUUCUUCUUAAAUAGCAGAAAUUUAUAUGAAUAUGACUUAUGUGAAAAUGAGAUUUUACUAUGGCUAUUUAGUUUCAUGUGUUUUGAAAUAAAUUGACAGUGCUAUAGAAACCAAAAGCAAUGGAAAUUUCUGUGGAAAAACAAAACAAAACAAAACAAAAAAACUGUUGUGUAUUCCCACUUCUGUAGACAGUGUAAAGAAGUGAGAAGGCAUGGCUGUAUUUGUGCUUCCACAUACAGCUGCCACAGGCUAACAAAUAUCCAGUGAGAAGUGUAUGUUGAAAGAAAUGUACGUGUGCUAAUAUUUAAUCUCAGAAUGGCAUUGCAUUUUUCUUUUUUCUAUUGAUGUUUAUUUUACUCAGUCUCACUAGAGAGUUCUGUUACUGUUUUUAUGUUACAGUUCUUGUGCUUUAGGAAAAAGAAUCUAAAGCCAAGGGGGCUAAUGUUCUUCUAUUUUAGAGCUUUUCUUUUCCUGAAUGCAUGCAUGUAGCUACAAGUAGCAAGAGUGUUUAUUGCAGUUGACUGUGUUUCUAAAAAGCAGAUGCCAAGGGUGCUUUGAACCCUGCUUCUCACUGUUUUCAGACCACAGAACACCGUGCAAGUUAUGAAAUCUGUCAAGGAGCAAUUUCCCUUCUCAGCUUCAUAAUUCCUUUGUUGUGCUUAUGCUGAGUGACAACAUCAAGCUAAAACAGUACAGAUUAACAAGGACAUGUAACUUAAAUAAACUCAGAGUCGUGGAUAGGUUCAGUUGUGUGGUUAUCUUCAACCUAUGGUCUUUUUCAUCUGUUGUUCUCUAGUGUAGAUGUAACGUGCUCCUGGAAAUAAUCUUUAAACUGGCAACCAAACCUUGAGAAUCUGACCAUCACUGCACACACACACACAAAAAAAAAAAAAAAAAAAAAAAAAAAAAAAAAAAAAUCAGUCCUUAUAUUUUCUUUAUUAUGAAUAAUAAGGACUCUCAUGAACCAAGCUUGGUCCUUGAAUGUGUGUUUUUCUCCCGUGAAAAACACUGUAGCAGAGAGAAGGUAGCAAGACAACAAAAUGGUGAAAAUCACACCUAUAUGGCAAUUUUAUUCCUUUAGUCAUUAAUACUGCAGAACAAGACUGAGAACCAUUAGGCUGUUUCAUCAAGUUCUCACCAUGAGGCUCAACAGAUCUCUUCUGACCAGAAGGAGAAAUGCCACAAGGAAAAUUCACAUGUAGGGUGGUGUAUGAUAAAUUCUGUCAAGGGUCUUACUUUGUUUGAUCAUGUAAUUUAUGUCUAUACAUUAAGAUACCUCAUGACCAAAUGACACUGACAGGCUCAUGACUGUGCUGCGUACACGUUGUCUCCCAUUGCUCUGCAGCAGAUGAACCCAAGGAAGCCCAAGCCCAGGAAGAAGCUGGAAACCCCAAAACAGAACUGAGAAGCAAGCUAAUAACUGUGCAACAGAGGCAAACAGGCAUCUGUCUCUUUAACUGGAUCCUGACCUUCUUUGUUUAGCAAUGCAAACAUAUAAUAAUGGCUUGAACAUGGGGUUGCAGGCCACAUUAGGAUUUGGAAACUAGCUGGCAGCACCUGAUCAAACACAGCCUCAAACCCUGCUUUGGUUUUGCGAAAUCUCCCACCUAAUUAUUUUUAUUUGAGCCUACUCUAGCUCCUGUAGCUUAUACAUGAAAGUCACUUCAUUUAUCUCCCUGUUCAUAGAGAAAAAGAGGAAGCCAAAGAGAUAAUUGUGACUCAGAUAAUUCUGCUGGAGUGGCACAUUUAUAUUUUUUAUUUAAUUUUCAGUAUUACAAUUAAAGUCAUAGCUUCUAAGUAAAUCUGAUAUACUGGUCUUUUCUAACAUAUUUAUUAGCUGACUUACACAUUCCAGUAUCAGUCCCGGGAAAGUACAGAUUUUUUGACUUCUCAGAUUCUGUAUGAACCUAAAGCUUGUGAGAGAACAAAAGGGGAAAACUUUACCACUCUUAUCAGAUGGUAGACUGUCCAUUUGGCAUUCUGCCUGGAAACUUGCAAACUCAAUUAAAUGCACAUAUGGUCCAUAGCAGGCAGAAUCAUUUUUUGCCAACACACGUUCCUCUUAUGGCACUUCCAAACUGUACCCAUGCUAGAUAGCUUUUUCCACAUAGGUGAUUUUUUUCCACUUCUCCAGCAGCAGCAACUCAGCAUAUUGUAUUUUCUGCCCUGGAAGAAUACAGGGAAGAAUGCCAAGAUGAACAUCAGUUUGAACUCCAUGGGGGUGAUUUUGCUAUUGAGGAGCUUUUGUUGAGGAAGACAGGUAUGGAGAUACCUAGAUUUAAUGAGCAGUGCUGGUAGAAUUAAUAAAUCUUUUCAAUACUCCCUGAAGCAGCUGCUCUCUUUUGAAAUAAUGAGCAUAUGGUUUCAUUAUAUUUCAUUGAUUUGAUCCCCUUCAGCUAAAGAAAUAUUUCAGUGGAAUGCAAACAACUUACAGAAUUUCUGCAUAUUUCUCACCCUUUUUAUUUUUCCUGGCUAAACAGAAAGCUGACUAGCAUGUAAAAGGAAGAGCUAGAGGCAGCAUUCCUAUUCCUUAAUAGGGGUUGUAUGAGGGGCAAUGGGGCCUUUGACAAUAAUGAGGACCUGUGUGUGCCUUGAAGCUACAGUGCUUGGGGGUUCCCUUUAAGGUUUGAUUGUGUGGAAGAAACUGUGUGAAAGAAACAAGAUCAAGCUGAACUAACCCUACUUAUAAGACAUAGUCUUUACAUAAAAAUUUUCUCUAGAGGUAGGGGAUAGGCAGAGAGGAAGGUGAGAAUGCAUCAAAAUGGCUUGUUAAACCAACAUGUUCAAACUUCGUAGAAAGAAAAUGUUGCAGGAUAGUUUUAAAUUGUCUUUGAGAACAAACCUUUCAAAGCAAAGAUUUUUUUAUUUUCUCAGUUGCUGAAGACAUCUCCCCACCCAGCUGUUUUGAGGAGAAACUGCAUUCAGUAUUUUAUCCACUCUACAUCUUGCUACUGACAUUAGAAAACCAAAUUCUGAAGUGAAAGCAAAGUGAAAGUCACCUGCAGUUUUUUUUGUUUUUUUUUUUUUUUUUUUUUUUUCUGUAAGAUCUUUCUGGAAUAUGAUUUCUGACAGCUGCAAGCUCACAAGCUAUCUUUUUGCAGGUGCCAAAAUAAAUAAGGAAAACUUGCAUAUGUUUUCAUUAGGAAACUGGGUAGAUUUGGCAGUUCUGGGCUCUCUAGGAAGGGAACCAUUCCUGGAAAAGCUGGUGACUGAUAGAGAGGUGCUAUACUGCGCUCUCUCAACAGUGGGGAAGAUGUAGAGCCUGCUUCUGGUUACUUGGCUCUAUUCCUUAUUCAUUGCCACUACAGCAUUCUUCAGUAUACAUACAUUUGUACAUUCCUCCUUUAUAUGCACAUUUGUGUAUGAAUAUAUGUUGGUUUAAAUAUACAUAUGUACAGUAUAUUCAGUAGACUUUAUAGUUUUUGUGAACAGCAAAUCACAUAAUGACAGUUCACAAGAUUGUAUUUCUUCUCCAGAAAAAAAACACUGCAAUAUUACAGAAAGUACUUCAGUUUUUUUUUUCUAUAUUUUUCCUUUAAUAAAAUCUGAUUAUUUACAGACAUUUUCCCAUUGUGGUAUUUCAGAAGGAAAACUAUCCAGUUGUUUUGUAAUAUUGUAUUAACUUAAUUUUUCAUCUGAUGCAAAGGCCUAGUAUUGCAUCAUGUAAUUAUCGAUGUUUUGAAGCCAAAACAAAAGAAUUCACUUCCAGAUCUUCACCACAUUUGAACCAAUAAGCUCUAAUUGUCCAUUCAGGCCUAUGAGUUGCAAUGUCAUGAGGAAAUUCAUGGUUGCAUUUUUCAUACACAAGAACUCAGUGGUUUUUAAAAGAGCUUAUAUACUUCAAUUUCAUAAAGUGGUCUGUGUUUUGAUGGAUUGCAAAUUGAUACUAAGAUCAGUCAAAGUAAACAUUUUCUCUCUUACAGCAAGCAAAAUAAACUUGAUUAUCAGAAAAACUGUAACAAUUUCAUCAAAAAUGUUCAGCAAUUAGACAGUUUUAAGGGCAGGGGACAUUAAUUUGUUAAAUGUUCAUCUGCUAUGAUUUCAAAUGAAAUUGCAGAUGAAUGUUUAACAAAUUAAUCUCCCCCGCCCUUAAAAUUUACCAGAAAUAAGACAUUUUCUAUUGAACCAAAUCACAAAACUUGUUUCAGCCUCUGUGGUCCUGCAGAGAUUGCAGUACAGUGAUGCCUGCUCUUUAUUUCUGGCAUGGAAGUAGCAGGGAGACAGAUGAAUGCAGAGCCUCUCUUUUUGUGGCAUAAUCCAUACAUUAUUAAUUUUUGUUGUUGUUGCUAUAAAGCUGUGAAAGAGAUGCUGUUCUGAAUUGAGCAUCACCAUUCCGAUAUGAACAGACGCAGUCCCUGAGCUACCCAGUCAACUAAUUAAUGCUGCAUAAUUUAAUAAAGGAUGGUAAUUAGUCAGUUUUCCCCAUCUUGUUCCCCUCCCUGCUAAUGAUAACAUUAUCGAGCUGAGGCAGGGUGUAGUGAGUGUGUGUGUGUGUAUAGGGAGAUAACUUACAAUGAAGGAGGAUGAGUAAGCAGAUGAAGCUGGAAAUGGUUCAGUCUAUGAUUAUAAAAUCUUCUGAUUUUGUGUUUAGAGAGAACCUCCAGAAUGUCGAAGUGAGAGCAGAAUAAAAAGCAACAAUGAAACUUGUUAAAAGAUGUAGAUGUAUUGUAGAGAAGAAAUAAUUUAAUAUUCCAUGCAACUGUUUAUUAAAUAUUACUUUACUUUUUUUUAUUGUUAUUAUUAUUCUAGUCUUAGUAAGGAGGCAAAGGUUGAAUAUACUUGCAGAAAGAAAGCGAAAGACUCCUCCACAGACUCUCUCUCCCUUGCUACCUCUGAAUGGAUGAUGAAGGAUGUCAAUUACAACAGUAUCAAACUCACUACUAAAGAUAGUCUCUUUAGGCAUUCUUCAGUAGUCCUGCCAUAUGGCACAAGCUUCUCUUCAUUGAAAGGAAGAUGCCAAAAGGUGU